rnacentral:tRNA from 1 species
UGGCUGAUUGGUAAAGCACUUGGUUUCUGAACCAGGGUUCCCGGGUUCGAAUCCUGG